rnacentral:lncRNA from 1 species
GAAACAACGGCGAAGCAAAAAUUGAGCAGUCAUGCCCUUGAGCAUCACCGAUGCAGCAACACUUGGGUCAAUUGAGGAAGGAAUAGGAACCACUUUACCAGCAUGGAGAAUCUGCUCCUCAACAUAAGAGCCAAUUGGCUGACCAGCAUAACCAACAAGAUCACCAACCUGCACACCAGUUGGUCCACCACCCACAGCAGUCACAACCCCAACAGCCUCCAUACCUGCCACCCCAUCAAAACAAUUGAAUUCAACAACAACAACAACAACAACAACAACAACAAAAACAACAACAACAACAACAUAGAAUAGAAUGAUCAAUUGGUAGAAGAAGAAGAAGAAGAAGAAGAAGAAAAAGAAGAAGAAGAAGAAGAAGAACAACAACAACAACAACAACAACAACAACAUCAUCAACAUAGAAUAGAAUGAUCAAUUGGUAGAAGAAGAAGAAGAAGAAGAAGAAGAAGAAGAACAACAACAACAACAACAACAUAGAAUAUAAUGAUCAAUUGGUAGAAGAAGAAGAAGAAGAAGAACAACAACAACAACAACAACAUAGAAUAGAAUGAUCAAUUGGUAGAAGAAGAAGAAGAAGAAGAAGAAGAAGAAGAAGAAGAACAACAACAACAACAACAACAACAACCACAACAACAACAUAGAAUAGAAUGAUCAAUUGGUAGAAGAACAACAAGACAUGCCUGGAGUGAAGGGUGAAGUGGAGGCUUUGUAAACCCCUUUCCGAAAGUAGACAUCAAUGAAAUUAACCCCGAUUGCUUUGUUCUUCACACGCACUUCAUUUUCUUUGGGGUCUCCAAUUUCCACAUCCUCCCAUUUCAGAAUCUGAAUUGAAUGAAUGAAUGAGUGAGUGAAAACUGUGAAUGAGUGAUUGAAUUAGAAAGUGAAAGAUGAUGAGUCUUCUUCACCUGGGGACCACCGAGUUCGUGAACUCUGAUAGCUUUCACCAUUUCCGUCGCUGAUGAUGAUGAUGAUAACGAAGCUUUCGCGGUGAGUGAUGUUGCUCUGGCUCUGAGUGUGAUCAAUGAAGAUGAAGAAGAAGGGGUUGUGAGUGGGGUUGGUGGAGUAAGAAAUUAAGAGAGACGAAGGUUCUGGAUUCUGAAUAGCCUGAAACUGCUGAUGCAAUGGGACAUUUGUUUUCGGUUUUGUUUUUACCCAAUUUGGACUCGGUUUAUGUUAUUCAUUGUUUUCUUACAUCAGUUACAUAUGGAUGGGGACAAAGUGCUCAAUCAAUCCGUAGUAACGCAAUAAUAAUUUGUCCACACCUCAUUUAGAGGUGGAAAGAGAUGGAUGAGGAGAGAGAUAUGAAGAAAAGAAAAAGUAUAAGAUGUGAUAGAUGAUAAGAGUAAAGAGAUAGAAAUAAAAAUAGGUGGAAAUGAAUUGUAUAAAUAAGGAGGUGUGUAUAUAUAAUUACUCGUAGUAACGACUAGAUACCAUCUUUUUUUUUAAACCUCUUAUUUUGUAAAGAGAAAAAAAAGAUGAUGCAUCGACGGCGUAAAUUUUACACCGUAAAUCAUUCAGAUUUUAAGGAUGCGUCACGUCAAUUAAUGAAAUUAAAUAAAUAAAGAGAUUUUCUCACAUCUUUGAAAUCUGAUUGGUUGAUGAUGUAAAAAAACUUUACACUAUCAGUGCAUAGAAAUUAAAUUCUUUUGUAAACGAGUUUAAUUUUAAUUUUUCGACCAAAAAUAUAACAUUUAAUGGCAACAGAAACAACAAAUGUCCCUGGUGAUAGCUCAAGUGGUAAAAGUUAGGGGACAUGUACGUUGGGUGGGGGAGGUUUAGGGAUCAAUCGCUGGCGGGUACAAUUUAUCUUUCCGAUGUAAAAAAAAAAACUCAUAAUUAGUUUUAAAAAAACAACCGAUAAUUAUAAAAAGCUUAAAAUAUGUUUUUCAUCCCUCUAAAAAUUAGAUCUUUUGGUUUAGGCCCCUCAAAAUAAGAGUGUGUGCAAACAAAAAAAUAUUUUACCAAGAGGCCCAAACCUAAUUUUAAAGGGACAAAAAACAUAUUUAAGCCUUAUGAAAAUGACAGCCAAUUAUUUAUUAUAUUAAUUAAUAAUUGUAAAUUUUAUAAGUUAUUCAUAUUUAAUGAUUAUUAUUUCAAUUUUAAUUAUUGAUCACUACUUUAGAAAAAACUUAAAAAUUAUAAUGAACUGAAAAUUAACUCAAAAAAUAAAAAUAUUAAUUAGUUAUUAAUAACUUUUUAUAUUAUUCAUGAUAUUAAUUACUAAUUGAUUGUCAAAAAUUACUUAUUGUAAAAAAAAUUAUUUUCUCAUAUUUAAGAUUGAAUAUCUAAAUUUAAUUAAUAAUCAAAACUUUAAGAAAUAUUUUAAACAACAAGUUAAAUGGAGACAUUUACCGGUUAGUGCGCUGACCGUGGGGCGAGAGAUUAGUUUCACGGUUGUCGGCUGUGGGGAUACCUUGGUCAAGACCAAAAAAAAAAAUGGAGACAUUUACGCUAAUAACAAUAUUUUUAGUAGCCUUCCAAAAAUAUUAAUUAGUAUUUAAUAAAAUAAUUGUGUGGCAGUGGGGUUGCAUUCUGUUGUUACUGCAGUUGUGAGAGGGAAGGAGAAGAAGAAAAUGGUGGAGAAGAAGAAGAAGAAGAAUGAGGUAGGGUUGCAUUCUGGGUUUAAGCUUUUGGCUAUGGGGUUUUGAUUGUGAUUGGUGAGGAGGAGAAGAAGAAGAGGAGGAGGUUGAGAGUUUUUUAUUUGAUUAUUUUUUUUUAAUAUUUUAAAUGAAAAGGAAAAAAUUCCACGUCACUUCAUUUAGCUGAUGUGGCCAUGCCACAUGGGCCACCGGGAGCUCCGGCGUUGACCCAGAGCUCCGGAGGGACCAAAACCAAAUCUUGUGACAAAGGUUAGGGACUAAAACUCACCUUUGCUCCGGCGAGGGACGAAAACCAAGCAUUUGGUAAAGGUUAGGGACCAAAAACUUAUUUAAGCCUAUUAUAUUUCUAACACUCUCACACAAAAACUCACUUGGGCUACACAGACCCGCCUACUAUGUGCUAAAAUUCAAUUAAUAGAAAAAAAAUUUGGGGGCAACCGGGAUCAAACUCUAGACCGCUUGAUCAAAUAGAUUCUGAUAUCAUGUAUGUCAUGAAUAUAUUUACUCAAAAGCUUAAGUUAUACCUUUUCAAAAUGCUCAACCAUCUCAGCACAACUCAUUUUGAACAUUGAAGCAGCUGGUUGAUCAGAUAUGACAAAAUUUGUUGAGUCAGUGUGAUCCAUGACCAUAACUUCAAUUUGAUACCUAAAUUCCAAGCCAAAGAAGAUUCAAACUCAGAUUCAAUUCAUAACCUAAAGAACAACAAAAAUUCACAUAAAAUUAGUGAAAUAAAUAACACUAUGAUUCAACUGACCUCUUAGUCACAUGAUCAAUAUGUUUUUUACACCACUCACAAUAGUAAGCAACUGAAUCAUGAUGAGCAGCUUUCCCACACUUGCAAGAUGUGUACCACCAGUGAUGAGCAUCUACAAGAUACAUGAUUGUGGCUUGAACAAUAAAACAGGAAUCCUGUCAAUUUGAACAAAAAAGAGAAUUAAUUGAAGAAAUUGAUAAUCAACUAAUCAUUCACAGUAAAUUGAAGAAGACUGAUGGCAAAAAAGAAUAUUGUGCAUGCAUAAAUACCUCAUUGCAAUCCUUAAGCUCAUGUAUGGUUUUGGGUUGGUGCAUGAUGCAAAAAUCAUCCUCCAAUGUGUACAGAGUCGGUUCAUUAAGAUGACUAAGUACUUGGGAACAGGACUGACUAGUUGAAUUGAUUUUUUGCAUGUUCAUUUCUAGUUUCUUACUGAAACAGGUACCCAAAAAAUCCAAAUCAGAUUAAGGGAAGAAGGGAAUGAUGGACAAAUAAGAACAAGCAAGUAAUUAUACUAGCAGAAUAAGCUUCCGAGGGAAGAUUGCAAAUUAGAAAGCCUUCAAAAUGAAAGCAACAAUUUGAAAACUGUUCACCGUUCAUCUAUGCUUGCAUUGCAUGCGAAAUCUAAGCUUAAACUUCGUAGACAAAUUUCUUCAUUGUCAAUCAAUUACUGAGAACUUUUUUGGUCACAUUUAUUUUUUGUAACAAUCAAUACUGAGAACUGCUACGCGUAAUUCAAAAUUAAGAGUAAUGAUAUAUACACACCUCAUUUUUUGGUGCUUGCUACGAUACCACAACACUUAGUGUGGGUAUGAUACACGAAAAGGUUGUGGACCAAUCACAUCCUCCGUAUUUAAAAAGAAAAAAAUGAAAAUAUAAAUUAUUUUUGUUGUGGACCAAUCACAUCCUUCAUGUAUGAUACAUUGUGGGUAUCAUAGAAACCUCCUUUUUUAAACACUUCAUUUCCACCUCUUUUUAUUUCUAUCUCUCUCAUCUUAUUAUCUAUCACAUCUCAUAUUUUCUCUCUCUUACUUUUUCUUUUCUUCAUAUCUCUCUCACCAUUCCACCUCUCCACCUCAAAAGAGAGGUGUGGAUGAAACAUUAUCCCAAAAUUAAAUAUGCCUUUACUGUACCUCCUAAUUCAAAAUGGUAACUAUUUAUUUGUUUAAUUAGGUUCAAGAAAAAUAUUUGUUUAAUUAAUUAAUUUUAAAGAAAAAAAGUCAAUGCCGAUGUUUUUUUUAGAAAACAAAAAUAUUUUUUUUAUACAUCGAAAAAUAGAAAACAAAAAUAGUGGCAAUUCACAAGCGUACCAAAAAAAAAAAGAAUACACAACCCAUAAUAAAGGGGAAGUGACAAUCCAAAAAGAUAGCAAGACUAAGGGCAAUUCAAAAAACCAAUUGCCCAACAAGGCACCCACAACCAGAGAUAAGGCGCAAAACCCCCGAGAACAAAGACUAUCACCCAAAAGCAAAAAACUACCUCCAAAAGCCUUAAAUAUGUUUGAAUUUGUAAGAGAAUUAAAUUUGGUCUGGAAAAAAAUUCAAAAUGUCAUCGUGACAAAAAAAAAUCAAAUUUCUUCUUUCGGCCUACGUGUCAUUUUCGACUUACUCAACAACAACUGCGUGAUAGUUCUAAUUAGCUUGGGGUAACUACAUGGAUAUUUUUGUAUAAGUUUUGGUACUUGUACGGUUGUACAGUACCUCUGUUUUAUAAAAGUUUAAUUUCUAUUUACUGAGAGUGUAAACAAGUUUUACACCGUAACUCAAUCAUAUAUAUUCAUUUUGGUAGCUCAUAAUUAAUUUUCAAUUUAAUAAUAUUUAAAUUAGGAAAUAGAAGAAUGUGAUUAAAUGAUUGUGUAAAAAAAAUUACACUGUUAGUGCAUAGAAAUUAAUUUCUUUAGAAAAAAAACAUGUUCAGACCUUCCUCUUCUUCUUCCUCUCUCCCCUUCUCGUUCUACUUCCAUAACCACCGCACCCCAUUCCAACUACCACCACAACUCAUCUCGACCACAACACCAACCUCCUCCAUGACCUCAUCUUCAUCUUCCUCCUUCUCUCACCAUUCUCUUCCUCAAUCUCCUCCAUUAACCCUGCAUUGGUGUGAGAUUAGUCUCAUGGCUGCCGACUGAGAUAUCUUCUCAUUGUACUCUCAUCCUCUUCCUCCUUCUCGUUCUACUUCCAUAACUAUUACACCUCAUUCCGACCACCGCCACAACUCAUUCCGACCACCACACUAACCCCCUCCAUGACCUCAUCUUCCUCUUCCCACCAUCCUCUUCCUCAAUCUACUCCCUUAAACCUGCACUUGUGUGUGAUUAGUCUCAUGACUGCCGACUGCGACAUACUUUAGAAACAAUAAAAAUUACAAUUGUUAUUUGCACAAUUUUUAUAUAAUACUUUCAUGAUUGUGAAAAUUUAAAUGUUUUAUUUCAUAAUUUAAAUCCUUCACAUAUUCAUAUAAUUAUAAAAGAAUCAUAAUGAAUUAAAAAAAUUAAUAAAAAGCAGACAAAAAGUGUACUCUAAUUAUAAAAAUAACUAUUUUAAAAUAUGCAAGUUUAUUUAUUUUUUGAAAAAUUAUGCAAUAUUAAUUAGAAUAAUAGGCAUAAUAUAAUUAUUACACAAAUAUCUAUAAUUCGAUAUUCCAACUGAGUUUCAAAAAAAAAAGAUAUUCCAACUGAGCAGGUUUGGCUACCUUAAAAGGAACAUCAAGUAUAUGUUCCAUAUAUAGUAAUGCACUUUGAAGUUCAUCUCCAUCUCCCAGUCUUGCAUGUGUGUGAUGAUGGAAUUUUGCUAUUUUCAGCACCCACAAUAAUCCUAUCCACUCUGUUCUCCUUCCUUUCUAGAACCAAAAAGUUGGUGCACAAAACUGAGCUGUGUAUGACUCUGCAUAACAGCAAAAAAACCGUGUAAAAUUUACCACCAUUGGCUCUGACAACUACCCGGAAGUGCAAUCUUAGCAACCCCUCUAAAUUGAUUCUCCUUCACUGUUUUUUUCAAAAUUCAGUUCUGUGCCUCUAGAUUCUGUUGUAACUUGCAACCUUCCAAACCAAAAUCUCCACCACCCUUCACCGCCAUAGCAGAAGCCGCGGCCGCCACCACCACCACCGUCAUAGCCAUUUUAUAGUUCCAAUUUUUUUCUCCCCCUUCAGAAGCUCUAAGCCUGAACUUUCCCUUCAAUUCAUACUCAUUUCAAAAAUUGUCAGAAAAAGGGAGAGAAUGCUACAUGAUUGAUAAAAACAUUUCAUUUUUUACAACAUGAAUGCAUGUGUAUAUUUCUAUCUAUCACAUAGAUAUAAAGGGCCUAUGAAGAGAGAAUAAAAGAAAACACAGAGCAGAAUAGAAUCUGCAUGUGUAUAAAACAGGGGAGAAAAAAGUUGGAAAUUAUUUUUAUGGAGCACUUAACAUCCUUUAACGAUGAUGAAAGCGGGUUCAUGGCAAUGUUAGGUGGCUGCGGCGAAACGGGAAGUGGUGGCGGCAGCGGUGGCGGUGAAGGUAGUGGUGGUGGUGGUAAAGGGGAAGAGAUGACUCUGAAGAAGGGUCCUUGGACCACAGCAGAGGAUGCUGUUCUGAUAGAUUAUGUGACAAAACAUGGUGAAGGGAACUGGAACGCGGUCCAGAGGAACACAGGGCUGAAUAGAUGUGGGAAGAGUUGCAGGCUCAGAUGGGCUAACCAUUUGAGACCCAAUUUGAAGAAAGGUGCUUUCUCCCCUGAAGAAGAGAAACUCAUUGUUGACCUCCAUGCACAGUUUGGUAACAAAUGGGCAAGAAUGGCUGCUUUGGUAUGUAUUUUCAACCCAAACCAUUUUCAAUCUCUGCAUGGAUUCAAAUUACUAAACCAGCAUUGCCAAAAUGAAUUCGGAUCCUCGACCUGCAGCAAAAUGACAAGUGUUUAAAACUUUAAAUUAACGUAACUUUUUAAUCAAUUUUAACCAUUUAAUUUAAUAUUAAGGGUCAAGAAUUUGCAGCAGAAAACGACAAAGAUAAUGACGGCAGAGGAUUCAUGUUAUUACGAAUCUAAGCUUUAAUACAUGCAUGUUUAGAAACUUUGUUCAAAAAUUAAAAUUAAGACAAAAUCAUGUGGGCAGAAGCAAAAGCUAAGAUAAAGUACUUAGGCCCACAAUAAUUUCGGGUUUAAAGUGAUUUUCGAUCAAGUUUCUGAUCAAACACGAAAUCUUUAUAUUUUGAAACCAAAAUUGAAAUCAAUUAUCGGUAGAAGUAACUAUUAAGGGCAUUUUGUUUUCAAAAUUGAUUAUGAAAAAAUAGAAUUUGAUCAAAACAUUAUAUAUACACUUCAUACAUGUUUGGAAAUUCAUUUACAAUUGUAGUUACCCGGGAGAACAGACAAUGAAAUCAAGAACUAUUGGAACACAAGGAUCAAGAGGCGGCAGAGACAAGGUCUUCCUCUGUAUUCAGAUGACCAUGAUCGACCCACAACACCAACCACACCCACCACCCCUUCCUCAUGUGUCACCCCAACAGGAUCAUCACACCCCAACACCGCCACAAAGUUUGAAUUCUUCCAUCAGAACCACCACCAACACCACCACCACCACCACCACCAACAACAACAACAACAACAGCAACAUCAGCAACAAUAUCACUUCAACCACCACCACCCUCUAUCUCCAACCGCAUCCCACCACCACCACCACCAUUCUCCUCUAUCUUCACCCCUCCAACACAGAGCACCCUCCUAUUCCCCACACACUUUCUUAGACCCUGCACCUUCAGCAUUACCCUUAUCCUCCUCUGCACCUUCCCUUCACUCCUUCACCUUCCAGAGACCUGCACCAAUGCUCUGCACGCCGCUUCGCUUCAAGCGUUACUGCGCCUCUCCCGGCAGCUACAACAGCUUCCAGGUCCCUAAUUCGACCACACCUUGCUCCUCCUCCGCGCUCCAUGAUGUGACAACCAACCAUCUUGAUCAUGGCUUCAGGUUCCCUGUUCAUCAGCAAAACUCCUCUAAUUUUUCUCAGUUUUUUCAUACACCGUUGUUAGAGUCCGCGGCGGAUCGAGGGGUUUCUUCUUCUUCCCCUUCAGCUUUUCAACACAAGCUGGAGCUCCCUUCAAACCAAUUUUCAAGACCAUCUGAGCAGGAUCUUAAGCUUGAUAUUCAUGAGUUCAACAAUGAUCCUUCUUUGCAGAGUAGUAGUGGGUUGCUUGGGGAUAUUCUAUUGGAUGCUCAGGCUCUGGCUUCUGGCCAGAAUUCCAAGAAAAGAAGUAACUUGAGUUUGAAUGAAGGAAAUGAUUUAUUUGAUGGAUGCCAAAACCUUGAGGAUUUCCCACUUAGCUCUGCUUACUGGUCUUCCACUUCAGGUUAAUUAUUCUAUUGGUUGCUGUUAGAUAAUUACUUUGUAGCUUGUAUAUCUUGGUAGCAUAUAAUUGCAUAUAGGCAGGUUUAGAGGUUAUGAAAACCAGAAAAUAGCUGAGCCAGUGGUUUAGUGACUCAAGAUGUGUUCUUUUUCGGUUUUCAUAUUUUCUAAUGGUUAAUCAAACGGACUCUUAUUUGUUUAGAAUUUAAAGUGUUUUGCAUAAACAUCAAAUCAGCAAAGCUAAGUUUUAUGCCAAUAUAAUACAAACAAUCUAGUUCUUCUUAUUUGCCAUAAAGUUUUAUGUUGCAUUGAUCCACCAUUCCACCCUUGUCUUUUGACAUGCUUCAAAUUUAGUGCAGCAAUGAGACAACAUGCCUUUAUCAGUAAUUUGGCUCUAGUAUCAAAUAUAGUAUAUAUGAUUGCACUAACUUUUGCUUUUGCUUUUCUACUUAAUUUUAUGUGAUGAGUGAUUUCAUAAAAGGGAUUUUCUAUUUGAUCUAUUAUGGUAGGUUAUUUUUAGAGCCAUAGUCAAAUUAUAUCCUGAAAUUGGAAAUGAAGAUGUUGUAUUUACAGGUUCCUUUUGGCUGUAUCCUGAAAUUGGAUUGAAUGAUUGUCAGUCUUUGGCAUGAUGAAAUAAGAAUACAAUAUCAUAUUAGGAAAAAAAAAAAGGUAUAUCCUAUUUUUUAGGCUUUGUAAUUGUUACAUGCUAUUGCUAGCUAUAAUGGCAGAUAAAAUUAAUCCAUGUCAGUCCAUUAUUUUCAUUCUCUCCUAAAAUUAUUCUUAAUAUUUUCAUCAAAACUUGAGAAUUACAAUUACUAUGCUAUUUUCACUUCUUCAUGUGUAUGUCCUGUUUAUCUAUUCAAUUUCUAGCAACUUGUUCAUCUAUUUAUAGUGUAGAACUCAUUUGGUGAAAUAUACUGUAUUAAAUUAAUUUAUCACUGAUUUAAUGUUUCUGAUCUAUGCAGGACAAAAACCAAAGGAAGAAGCACCAGACCUGAGCAAAUUCACGAAUGAGGAUUUGUCAUCACUUCUUACUGUGACACCUUCUUCCACUAUGCAGCAGGGUCAAGAUUGGCAUAAUAACAGUGCACCAGAAGCCUCCAAUGUCCAAUCUUCUGGCGGUGUCAUGACAGAUGACAAUUUUGGACUUGAAAUCAAGCCCAUAGCUUCAUUGUUUCCUCUCUCCAACACAACAAGCCAUAAUGAAAACCAAGGUUACACUUGGGACAAUUUACCUGGUCUCUGCUAAGGUUGAUCCAGAUUGAAAUGGUUUGAAAAUUGUAUACCAAGAUAAUUUUGGGAGAUAUUGAUAUUGUUAUGUUUGAUGCAUAAUUGCAAAUGAUAUGUACUGUUGUUUGAAACCGCUCGACAAGCUAUCGUUCUUACUAUAUUGAAUGUAUACCCUAUAACUUAGGACCUCAAUGAUUUAUGAUUGAUAUUGCACAAUUUAUUUAAUCAAGGGAAGUGGUUGAUCACAUUGGAAAUUGAUCGGAGGAACCGACCAAGAUUAGCCAGGAAGGGUAGGGAGAGAGGGGAACGGUGAAGUGUCUGGUUGAGGAGGGCGUGGGGGUUGAGCCUGGAGCUAGGACGGGAGUGGGGUAGAGCCCGAACGUCGUGGUUGAGCCUGAGUGGGUGUCCUACAAAGGCACUCUGAUGCCUAAGUUAGUUCAAGAGCUUAGAUCCUUAAAAUCCUUAAGUGUUGGAGUUAGAAAAACCUACCUUGGCUACUGUAAAAGGAGUCUUUUAUACCUGGCCAAGGAGCUAGUGUAGCUCUAGGUGGAGGAAUGAGUGCCUAGCUUCUAUCGCAUUUAGAGAUCCAAGGGUCAGGCAGUGGCUGAACUGGGAAAGAUAAUAUGAGGGGGGCAAAAUAAAAAUUUUAAACAUAAACUAAAUUUUUAAUUAACAAUAAAUACAUAUAUACCCACAAAAUAAUGAUUAAACCAAUUUAUAUACUCAUUACAAAUUUAUUAUAAGAUAUAUCAAUGAUGUUUGAAUUUUCUUUUCAUUUUUUAUGGUCAGGUUAUUUAUUACAUUAAUUACAUUUAAUUAGUUUUUUAAUACUUAUCAUUGUCAAAAGUGUUUUUGUUGAAAAAAGAAAAUGUUGUUUUGACGGAGAGACUCAACCACUAGGCUGACAUAUUUAGUUUGAUGAAAUUUGAACUGUUAUAUACAUAUAUAUAUAUAUAUUUAUAUUUAUAUUUACAUAAAUAUAUAUACAAUAUUUCAUAGAACUUUUGGCCUUGACCCUCCCCUGCCCCAACGUAGUUCCGCCCCUAGGGCCAGGGGUUUCUAGUUACCAGAAAAUAGACCUCGAGCCUCGCUCCUAGCUUGUUGUGGCUGGGGUUUAGGGUCAGCGAUGAGAUGCUUGAGGUGAUUCACAUCCUACCUCCAGCUGGCGUUAGUCGCACAUGCCGUAGUCGGGCCCGAGCACGAUCGGUCUAGAGCAGUCAUCUUGAGUCGUUAGUCCGAAGUAUGGACUUAACAGGACAUAGGGUGUGGUCGGUCUUAUCGACUCCCAGAACAGUAGUCCCUAGUUCUGGUGCAUAAGGGUUGUGAAGCUUGAACUAAGAGGAUAGUCGGUCUUACCGACUCCCAGAACAAAAAUUAAAUGGACACAAAUUUGUGAGAAAUAGCAAUCUAUUAUUAAAUAUAGUUAAUUGUUAAAGUAAAAAAGUUUAUAAUUUAAAAUUGGAUUAAAGGUCAAAAUAACAGAAAUUAAAUGAAGACAAAUUUGUGAGAAAUAACAAUCUACUAUUAAAUUUAGUUAAUUGUUAAUGUAAAAAAGUUUAUAAUUUAAAAUUGAAUUAAUGCUGAAAUUAGUCUAUGAUUUUGUAAGCGAGUAUGAUUUUAGUCGCUCUACGGGAAAAUGAUGUUUAGUGGCAGUCAUUUUUAUAAUUACUAGUUUUUUUUACCGUCACUAAAUGUCAUUUUUUUACCAAAUGACUAAAAUUAAACUAGCUUACAAUAUCGUAGACUAAUUUGACGAUUAACCAUUUAAAAUUUUGCUAACUCUCUCACUUGUUUUUUAAAGGAGUAAGUUAGCAUUCAACAAUUUUCAUUUAGACAAAAAUACCCCCACCUUUUGUGUCACUAAGUUGUAUGAACCUAAAUUUUUGGGAAAUUAAUAUCUAAUUUUCCAAUUUUUAUGACAUCAAUUUAUUAAAUUGACUUUUGUGUUAAAUUUUUUUGUCAUUUGGCCACCAGUCUCCACCGGGGAAAGGGUCCUCACGUGACUAAUCUGGCUCGGGAUACGAUAGUGAUGUCCCUAGCCAUAAAUGUAUUAUUUUUUACCUCAGAGGGAUCGAACCCAGGCUAGGAGCCUAGGCGAAAACUCUUAAAGAAAUGCACAUUCACUACUUGUGUUACCCCUUGUGGUUAAAUAAAGUGUUUGAAAAUAAAUAAAAGGAAAAUAAAUAUGCUUGACCUUAUUAUAAAAUAAUGGAGUUAUUUUUCGAGUGGUUAGCUUAGCCCUUGACGCUGUCAAGAAGUUGGGACGCCUGGGCAAACUCAAGAAAAUAGUAUGUCGUCGUAGGGAGGAUUUUUCCAACGGGUAUUUUACCCAGUGUUAUCAGACUCAAACCGGUGAUCGACUCGAUCGAAGCACUGGGUCAAUGAGUCAGUGGUACAACCACUGGGUCAUUGGUUCGAUUGCUUGACUCAGUUUAUAUUAAAAAAUUAUAAUAAUUUAAAAUAUAACCUUAGUAUAUCAUAUAUAUAAAAUAAUAUGCAUUCUUCCUAACAAGAAGCAAAGUGGUGUAGUGAAAAUUUGGAUUAGCUUUCCUCCCUCUAACAGUUUUGACAAAAAAAAGGCAAAAAAAAAAAAGACUGACCGGUCCAUCAAAAAAUCGGCCGAGUCGCCAAUUUAUCCCCUGAACCGGCCGGUCCAAACCGGUUUAUAUCGGUUUGAUUGCUUGACCGAUCUGAUUAAUGGCUCGGAUCGGUAAAGGGUCUGGUUCCUGGUUCAACCGGUCGAACCGGCCGGUCCGGUCCGAGUUUUAUAACUAUGAUUUUGCUAUAUCAUCAUGGUGAUGAUAUUUGUGUGAUUUGAUGAAUUUUGACUGUUAUAUUACUAUAGAAAAAAAUAUCUAUCGUGGGAGGCGUUUCAAGCUGAUAUGGUGUUGUUUCAUGAAACCAAGUCAAAUGCGGGCAUAGAUUAACUUAAGUUAAUGAGAAUAAAAAAUUCAAAUAGCACCCUAGCCGCCCAAAAAUCCCCUCCAAUGCCUUUGGUUGUCCUUCAAUGCCUUUAAUUGUCCAUAAAUAACCAUUUAUUGAUGAUUUUUACCAUCAAGAUGAGUUAAGGUGUGAGAGAAGGAACUUGUGGAAAGUCUUGGUGCAGCAAAAACCCUCUCCUAGCUAGCCGCCCACCCUUCUCUCACUUUCCUCUCUACCGUUGAUCAUUUCACUCUCUUUUCCAUCCCAAAAGGUACGAAAAAUGAUAAAGUUCUUAACUUUGUUUAGUGGGCUGCAUCUACCGUGUGUCAGUUUCAAACUGACACACGGUGCUUCAGUUUCAUUUUUUCAGUGAUUAGACAAAAAUAUCCUUAUUUUCUCAAUUUUUUCCUCCUUGCUCCUUCCACCAUCAUCAUCCUAGAUUUUCCAGAUCUUGUUUGAAUAUGAGAUGUGGGCAUGUGGCUUCCCGAACCAGCCCAGACUACAGCAGAUGGCGGCGAAGACAUGGAGGCUCAUGGCGAGGUCAACGACGCAGCUCAAAAAAGGGAACAAAAUGGGUAGAAAGGAACUAACCCCACACAACCACCACCAAUUCUGACCGACCACCACUGCCGCCGUACAAUGACCUGGAUCNNNNNNNNNNNNNNNNNNNNNNNNNNNNNNNNNNNNNNNNNNNNNNNNNNNNNNNNNNNNNNNNNNNNNNNNNNNNNNNNNNNNNNNNNNNNNNNNNNNNNNNNNNNNNNNNNNNNNNNNNNNNNNNNNNNNNNNNNNNNNNNNNNNNNNNNNNNNNNNNNNNNNNNNNNNNNNNNNNNNNNNNNNNNNNNNNNNNNNNNNNNNNNNNNNNNNNNNNNNNNNNNNNNNNNNNNNNNNNNNNNNNNNNNNNNNNNNNNNNNNNNNNNNNNNNNNNNNNNNNNNNNNNNNNNNNNNNNNNNNNNNNNNNNNNNNNNNNNNNNNNNNNNNNNNNNNNNNNNNNNNNNNNNNNNNNNNNNNNNNNNNNNNNNNNNNNNNNNNNNNNNNNNNNNNNNNNNNNNNNNNNNNNNNNNNNNNNNNNNNNNNNNNNNNNNNNNNNNNNNNNNNNNNNNNNNNNNNNNNNNNNNNNNNNNNNNNNNNNNNNNNNNNNNNNNNNNNNNNNNNNNNNNNNNNNNNNNNNNNNNNNNNNNNNNNNNNNNNNNNNNNNNNNNNNNNNNNNNNNNNNNNNNNNNNNNNNNNNNNNNNNNNNNNNNNNNNNNNNNNNNNNNNNNNNNNNNNNNNNNNNNNNNNNNNNNNNNNNNNNNNNNNNNNNNNNNNNNNNNNNNNNNNNNNNNNNNNNNNNNNNNNNNNNNNNNNNNNNNNNNNNNNNNNNNNNNNNNNNNNNNNNNNNNNNNNNNNNNNNNNNNNNNNNNNNNNNNNNNNNNNNNNNNNNNNNNNNNNNNNNNNNNNNNNNNNNNNNNNNNNNNNNNNNNNNNNNNNNNNNNNNNNNNNNNNNNNNNNNNNNNNNNNNNNNNNNNNNNNNNNNNNNNNNNNNNNNNNNNNNNNNNNNNNNNNNNNNNNNNNNNNNNNNNNNNNNNNNNNNNNNNNNNNNNNNNNNNNNNNNNNNNNNNNNNNNNNNNNNNNNNNNNNNNNNNNNNNNNNNNNNNNNNNNNNNNNNNNNNNNGUUCUGGCGGCGAGCAGGGAGGAUCGUGGAGAACCACGAUGACAGCGGAGGAGACGCUGAUGAAGAAGGUUCGUAGGAAUCACGAGAUGAAUCCUCCUCCUCCGUUGUCUUGUUCGAUCUUGGACGGAAAAGGCUUGACAAGAUCCAGAACCUUCCGAUCCUUUUCUUUGACGCCGCCGCCGCUGCUCCGCCGUCGCACGCUGGGGAGAAUCCUUGGCCGACCUCCGGCACGCUGUGGAAUAACCGCUCCUGGCGGCGGUCGCGGUCGCUUUUCCGGCGAGUAACAUAGGGUGAAACCGAGGGAGGGAGAUUGAGCGGCGGCGGAGGAUGAUUGGGAUCAGAUUUUCCGGUGGCAGGAUGGGGGGAUUGGGCUUGGGCCUCGGCGAGAGGUUCGAGGCGUUCCCGGAGACAAGAGGCGCAGACGCCGAGGGUGCUGGUGAGGUCCGGUAAAUGUUUCUUGCACCUCAUUGAUUCCUUUGUGGAAAUUUGAUUAUACACGAUACGACAGCGUUUUGUUUGUUUUAUAAUUGUGCAAACGCUGUUGGUGGUUGCUUUUUCACUUUGUUUGAUUGUGUUGUGUUACCAAGUGGGAGGGAUUUGAUGGAGAAUUCAAGGUGAAGGAGAAAGAAGGGUUUGUUUGUUUGUCUUGUUGUUCUUGUUCUUGUUUUGAGAAUUUCAAUGGAAGAGAGAGAGAGAUUGGGAGAGAGAAAGAGUAUAUGGGUUUGGGAGAGAUAAAGAGAGAGGAAAGGGUCAAAGAUAGGAAUACUUGUGGGCUGGAUUACAGCACCUAUUGAGUUGUAAAUUUGUUAUAAUCCAGUAAUUUGUUUCUAGUCAUGGGUUUGUUGAUGAAAAUAAAAAAUUGUAUGUGCUACUAUUUUGGUUACUAAUGAGUAACAAAAUCUUUUUAUUAAAUAAAGAAUCUUGUUAACCAAUGUGGAGUUGAAAUCAAUAAUGAAAUAAGCAUAUUAUUAAAUAUAAAUGUAUUAUUCAUUGUCUUUUAUGAAUUAAGUGUGUCUGGUAACUGAACGUGGGGACUGGGGAGUUGAAUUAUUAUGAUUUUAUGAACUCCUAUAAUCAUUCUUCAUUAUCACAAAGUAUAUCAUUUUAAAAAAGGAAAAUUGAAGAUUGAUUUGAACCUGGCCCACUAUGAUGGUUACAAGCAUUGAUUAAAUUGGCUAAAAGCCUUAUUCUUGUAUUUCUUCAUAUUUGUGUUCAUACUAUAUAAGAUUAUUUUAGCACCAAAAAAAACUAUAUAAAAUUAUUCACACAGUAUAUGAUUGUUUUUCUAACACUUAUCCUUAAGAGAUAACAAAAAUUUAAUUAAGUAAUCUUGAAAGAGAUGGAAAUUUCCGAUGUUGUAAUAGUUGAGAUUAAAAUAUUUAAUACAUCAUUAAUCGAAAUGAUACAAAUUUUUACAAAUAUUUAAUAUUUUUAAAACAUUAAACUACUAUCCUAAUCCCUAAGUAUUAACCUUCAUAAAUAAGGGAAGAACAAUAUUUAAUGGUUUCAAUAGAACUUCAAUAUUGGAAAAGUAAUAAUGUAGGGUGUUGCCGUUGCCCCCAUUCAAGCUAAGUAUAUUUUAGUAUUAGUCAUCUUGAACGGAUAAAAAUACCCUUUCAUUUCAAUAGAUACAAAGAAUUCUUCAAUAACUUAAGAGGUGUUGACUUUUGUUUACAUGUUUAAGAUAAGAUGAUUGUAAUCAUUAAGUGAUGUGAUUAUGUGAAUGUCUUGUCUCACCGGGUUUCUUGCUUUAUCGGCAGAUAAAUAUUGGUUCAUUGAAUAUUUGUCGUGUGUUCAAUUAACUUAAUUGUAUGUUUUGUCUUUAAUAAACUUUGAUUAGUGAUUACCUUAGUCCGCUUCUUAGUGUGAUCUCACUAGUUUCUUUUGCUUGAGCUUUUAUUUUAUUUUAUAUUUUCUAGUUUCUUCUGCUCUUUUGGACACACAUAAUAAGUAGAAUGCCAACACAAGGUAACUUUUUGUUUUAUUUUUUCAUUUAUCUAUUUCUUAAUUGAUAAUGAUAGGUGUAGGGACAAGUUUUUAUUUUAAUUAUGGUGCGUAUGGCAAUGAGUGGAUUUAAAAGAAAUUUAAAUAGGUUUGAGAUCAUUAACUUUCUAAGAGGAAUCAAAUUGAGUCUCCAAUAUUUUGACAAAAAAUUGAGUCUCCAAUAAAAAAUCUUUAAAAUGUUAUUAUUUAAAAAAAUUAAAUUAAAUUAAGGAUAAAGUGUGUUUCCUUUUUUUUUGGUACAUCGGAAAACAUAAAGUGUGUUUUCUACUUAUGUGUCAUGAAUUUUAAUCAAUCAUAACAUCCACAUUAUACUACCACUUAUCUCACAUGGAAUUAUUAUUUUAUUUUUCCAGCCACCUCUUCCCGUUCCCACUUCUUAAUCUUCCAUGACUCAAAUUCUCAAAUUCAGAAAUUCAUCUCAAAUCUCCAUUUCCUUGUUGCAACCCAAAAAUUUAUAUCAAAUCCUUCUUCUCUCUUUCAUCCUCUUCCUCUCCCCCUUGAUCUUCUUCCUCUUCACCCGCCUCAACCCCCACAUCUAAAAACCCAGUUUCAAAACAUCAAAGCUAGGCACUAGACAUGCCAUGUGAACUUUAAAUUGAGUAAAACUUUUUGUAUUUGUAUGUAAACGGUCGGGUUCGAAAAACCGAUGGAUAAAAUACACAUUAAGUCUAUGCAUAUGAUUCAUCUAUACCAGUUCAACACUUCAAUUAUACUAGUUCAACGCUACGUGAAGCUGACGUGUUUAAAUGACUAAAAAAUCAAACUCUAUGUAUAGUAAUUAGAUUUUGGGGUGUGAAAUGAUUUUACAAGACAAUUUUCUUUCUCAUCUAUCCACUUUUUCUUUUCUAAUUUCUUUCUUUUAUUACUAUGUUUCUCACUAUGCAAGUAAUUUUGGGGUGUGAUUGAUUUUUUUUUUCAUCUAAUAAUAACAUUUCCUCUACACCACGUUGACCAGCCUUGGUUUAGUGCCUUGGUGGCACAUGUUGGUAGUUGGUUGGCUUUGUUUUAGUGCUGUAAACCAACAAAGUUUUCAAUGAUGGUCAUUCAAGUACCAAGUGCCAACAAAAAUCUAAACUUAGCUUCCAAGUUCGAAAUCCUGGGUUCAAGAGAAAGGAGAACAAUAUGGAUUGAAAAUGAUGAUAAUGACAAGUGAAAGCACCAAAGAUUGCACAAAAGAUAUUCGAAACGGAUACUAGAGCCUAGUGGAAUGUUUUUUUUGAAAGAGCCUAGUGGAAUGUUACUACUGAAUAGUACUUGAAAAGCUCCACGUUUAUUGUUAAAUCACAAGUAAACAGAUUUUCCUCCGUUUUAAUAAUAUUUUGUAAUGUAAUUCAGCUGUGUCCCCGAGGGUUAGCUCAAGUGGUAAGAGCUAGAAGACAUAAGGGAGGGGAGGGGAACAUAUUUCAGCUGUUUUUUUUUUGGAAACAUAAUUCAGCUGUUAUUACUAUGGAAAGUGCUGCGUGUUACCAAAUGAAAGCUUCGAAAGGUGAUUUUACACGGCGGGUUAUAAGAUGCAAUACAGGUUGGGUCUUGUAUUGGUGCAAGAUACAAUUAUAACCAUAGAAAUGAAAUAUUCUAUUUAGAUCCUAUAUGUGCAACCUAUUAAACUUGUAAUCUUUUCAAAAAAAAACUUGUAAUCUUAUAUUUGUAUUUUAUUAUAAUUUUAUUUUGUUUUUUACAAUAAAGCCCCUCAUGCAUUUCUCCCUCAAUCUUCCUAAACCUCACCACCAAGCCACUGAGUAUUGCGUCUAAAUAAGUUUCAACGGAGCAUUAUUAUCCAAUUUUUCACCGAAUAAUUUGAGGGGUACAUCUCACGUUCUUUAAGGUUCACUUGAACACUAAAAGACCAAACGCUCUUGAGGCCACUUUGAUUUAGUUUUAACACUACAAUACAGAGUAGGGUGUUUUUCAAGUCUUAAAACAUAGAGUCCUUUUGCUUAUGAACCACUAAGCUUAAAUAUCUCAAGAGAACCUUUAUCUGAGUCCUGAUCUUUUAGAUACAUUUGUUUAUUUUACGUGUAAAUGCUCAGCAGUAAUAAAUUAUUUAUUAUCUCUUUUGCCUUCAAAACAUAUUACUAUAUCAUUGCUACAUAAAAAAAAAAAUUAAUAACUAUGCAUGGACAAUGCAAUUUUUUGCACAUAGAUUCAAUCAGGAUUUACUAUUUCGUGAGAUCAUAAAUAAAUGAAAAUAAGAAAAUAUUAUAAAUAAAAAAUGAAAAUUAUGAUUUGAUGGAUGUGUAAACCAAUUUACAGUUUACACUGUAAAAAAUAUAAAUUAAAUCUGAAUCCAAUUAAAAGAGCCUUUUUUUACAAGAGGAAGAGGAAGAAAAUUAAAAGAGCCUUUAAGAUACUUUCCUUUGUAAAAAAAAAAACCCUCUUAGAAAAAAAAAAUCAUAAGGUGAUGACCAUGGUGCCUCUCAAAAUAAGAGGGGCACCGCCGCACCGGUGUCUACCAUACUUUUUGGAGUAAGAUUACAAAAUUGUCCUUAAUGUAUACUUUAAUUUUGAGAGAUGCAAAUAGGGUUAAAAAAAUAUUUUGAUUAAUUUAAUGAUUCAAUCCCAAUCAUCAAAAUUAGCAUAAACACGCGAUGUACUAGUGUCUCUUUUAUUUUCAGAGGCACCAUAGUGUUUGCCAAUAAAAGACAACCCACAAACUUUGGGAAAUAAUUUCAAUUUUUCUAAUUUUAUGCAUUUAUCUCACGAUUUCUACUUAAUUCUUCUCAUGUUAUUAAAGAUAAAACAGAUACUACACCGAUUCACUGAAUUAUUUCCAUUAUAUCAAAGAUAAAAACAUGUUACACAAUAAUUCAUUUUUUCCUCAUUUUUAAAUUCAUGCAAACAUAGAUACAAAUAUUCUAUUUUCCUUUUCUUUCACUUUUCUCUCCAUCCAAACAAAUAUACAAAAUCUAUCCAUCUUCUCUAUAUUUUGUUUCCUCCAAUUUCUUCCCACAUCCAAAGGAAGCACUAUAGGCUUUUAGUAAGCUCUGAGAUAAUGUUUUAUAUAUAUCAAAUUAAUUGAAUCUGGCAGAUUGUUUCCACUCUAAGCAUUAUUUGAGAAACUGACCAAAGCGGGCAUCAUGCAUCUCGAUGGAGCUUGUAGUUAUCAACCCAGCAGGUUACUCAAUCUUGCUUGUAAACUAGUGUUGGAUACUCUGGACACCACAUGUUAUUCUUCACAUAUUCCCCAAGUUCAACCUGCAACACCCAAAAGAAGCAUCGAUAUCAUUAUAGAUUUGAUCGUAAGUAUUUGGAUUUGAUGUUGAAUAAGAGUGAACUACUCUACUUUAUAAUGAUCCGUACAUAUAUGCAGAAUUUUCAGCUCAGUUCACACUAUGGGAACAUCAAUGCAUUUUAAGAAAAGUAUAAACAAAUAUGAUGAUGACUGAAAAAAAGGGAAGCCAAAGAAAUUAGCAAAGCUCAACCAGUCAAUCACAAAAAUCUGAAGAUCUUAUUCUUAUGGACAGCUCACAAAAUACAAAACUCAUGGACAACAAGUCUUACAAGAAACAAAAAAUCAUGCCAUAUGCGGAGAAAAAUAGUUAAACCUUCCAUUUUUUCUAAGGUAGCUUAUUUUGGAUUAAAAAACUAUUUUUAAGUUCAAGCUAAUAUAAGAAAAGUAGAAGCUUUUAAAAAAUCAUCUUCUAAAGAACCUUCUGAAGAAUACUGGAACUACGUCUCUCAUUCUCACACAUAAUUUCCAUCUUGCAUAAAUUUUCUUCAGGCAGAAGAGAGCAAUAAUAGUUCAUUUUUCCUCUAGGGAAUUAACACUACAUGAAAGUAAUAUUAAUUUUGACCAGACCCAGAUUCAUAUCUAGCAAUGUAAUGCAACACUUAGAAUCAGUCCAAGCCUAACUCUACCCUAAAAACUAACUCUAACGUGAGCAUUGCCAAGGCCUAUAAGCUCUAUGUUGGUCUUAUCUCUAGUUGGUGUGUGACCUCAAUACACCCCUGCACGUGGAGGAGUCUGGAGGAUGGAGAUUAUAAAUUUUUUAAUUCCAUUAGAAAUCUGUGAGGCCAGGUUGAUUGUAGUGGGAAAGCCAUGGGCCAGGUAGUUUGCACUGGGAAAGUCAUGGUCCCAGGUUGAUUAUUUUUCCUCGGCAGACGUGGGUGGUUAAUACCGAAUCUAGGAUAGAUUCUAAUACCAUCAAUAGAAAUCGGACUAGGCUAACUCUACCCAAAAGCUAGAUCAUAAGGUGUGAAUUGUCAAAGCUUACAAACUCUAGGAUGGCCUUAUCACUAGUUGAUGUGAGAUCUCAACAAGAUAAAAGAUUUGUAAGCAUCCAACUCCUAUCAAUAUUUUAGUCAGCCACUAAGUGAAACAAGGAAGAGAACAGCAGCAGCACCACAACCACUACCACCAUCACCAUCUUAUCCCACUUUGGCUAUAUGGAUCACCCGAUGCCAUUGCGCUUGAUCAAUAACAAAAUUUUGUGCAACAUUAUUGACCAUGGGGCCGUUUUAAAUAAUAUCUUCCAACGUCAUUUUUGGCCUCCCUCUACCCCUCUUAAACGAACUAAGAAUCAUAUUAUCAAUCCUUCUGACUACUAGGGCCUCCAAAUGUCUUCUUUGUACAUGUCUAAACCACCUUAACCAAUUUUCCGUCAUCUUCCCCUCGAUAGGUGUCACACAAACAUCUCUUAUACGAUCAUUGUAUAUCCAGUCCUUUCUAGUGUGGUCAAUCCAUUGAAGAGCCAGGUGUUCGAUCAAUCCCCUCCCCAACCCAUAUGUCUCCCCAACUCUUACCACUUGAGCUAUCCUUCGGGGAUCUUUGCAUAGUACAAUAGGGUUUAGAUCAAUCCUAAUCAUAGUACAAGAUUGACAGCAGAAAGAGAAGGCUUUUUUGGCAAUUGUGGAAUAAAUCCCAUAUUUAUUGUUUAGGACAUAGUGGAUUGCUAGAAACGAAAUUCUGUUAUGGGAUAAAAGAUUCGAUCUACAGAAGACUUGGGAUAUGCAUUUAAUGAGGAUAAUUUGGUAAGUAAAAUAUUACUGGAAGAGUUGCCCAUAUGAUACUGACCAUUUUAUCAGAAAUUUCAGUAGCAUAAAAGUUCAAAGACAGGUGGCUGACCCACGAUUGGUGGUGUGGUCGCCACCUUCCAUCAGGCUGUUAAAGUUUAAUGUUGACGGAGCGUCGAAAGGAAAUCCGGGACUAAGUGGUAUUGGAGGAGUGCUCUGAAACUACAAAAAGGAAAUACUGGACUUUAUCUCGAUCAAUUCUGGACAUGGAUGGGCUUAUGAAACAGAAGUGAAACUAUUCUGAAUUCUCUUUUAUUCUGUCAACAAUUUAUCUUUAGAAACAUAGUCAUUGAAAGCGAUUCCACUCUUGCGGUGGGUGGUUGAAUUCUAAACAAAACAGGCCGUGGAAACUGCUCAAUGAACUGAAUCAAAUUGAUUUCCUGAUCGCUGAAGUGAAUUGCUUGGGGGUUAGACAUACUUAAAUGUAAUAUUAUUGCAGACUAUUUAGCCAACCGAGGAUGUAAUAGAGGCGAGCCUAUAUGGGUUUGCAUUGAGGAUUUGAAUUGUAAUUAAGGAACCUACUUGAGAAGGAUGUUCUCAUGCCUUAUGACUUAAUCUUUAUGAUAAUGAUUUUCUUUCACAUUGGUAUCAAAGUCAAUCCUAGAUGUGUUAUUAAGCCACCAAUAGGCCACCCGCAAAAUUUAAGAAAAAAAUUCAAAAACCAACCUUGCUCGUGGUUGUUUUAGAAAAAUUAAUGACAUCAAUCUGGUUGCGAUCAUUUGAAGAGAAACUAAUAUCAAGCCUGCAAUCUCCAUGCUAAGAUGUCUAGCCCUCAGCGUGAGGGGUGUUAAAAGGUCUCUAUUGACUAGAAAUAUGGUCAAAUAAGUCCUCAUAAAAGGUAUGAUAAUCCUCACCGCUAAACUGGCACUUGAGGUAGAGUUAAGCCUAGCUCAAUUUCUUAAAAUGGUAUCAGAGCAUUUAGAAGAAUCAACUACCCCCAAAGUUUAAGUUGUUGGGUUAAUACACAUGAAUGAUUUUAUAUUAUAUUAUGUUUCUAACCAAUUGCCCUUAAUCUGUUGGGCAGCCAGGGUGCAAGAUUCGUCACCGGCCCAAUUUGCUCUGCACAAGCUACCGUUUUGCUUACAUUCAACUUUAAUUUAUUACAUAAUGUGUACAAUUAGGAUCCAACUCUAGACCUCUUAAUCGUAGAGGCUUUGAUAACAUGUGAAAGUGAGUGAAACCAACGAUCCCAAAAGCUAAACUAUAUGAUAAAGACACAUGAAGGGUUUUAUAUUAUAUUUCUAACCAUUUACAAUGUCAGAGAAAUCUCCUAGUCGUAGACAACCACAUUCUGAAAGACAGCAAAUUAUUCUGUCGGAACCCUUGCAGGUGUGUGCUUAGGCAAAAUUAACUUCUACAUUAUAGUAUAAAUUACACUACUAUGUAGUCCUACAGUAAUUUAAAAAAAAAUCUAACAUUCCCAAGUAAAUAAACUUACCUCACUAAGCUUGCGCAGCUCUCGAGCAUCCAUUCCAUGAUAUCCUUCAGCUAGAUCCUCCACCACAGCUUCUUUUAUAACAGCUGCAGCUACCUCCUUCGUAAUAUCUCGAAUUCUACAUAUAUAUUAUGAAAUAGUUUGAGAAAUAUGCUACUUUCUAACUAUCUCUUUUAACCAACUGAGUGGUUCAUACCUGGAUAUUGAAGGGAAAAUAGUCCCUUUGAGGACCUCCUCAUCACUCAUAUAUGCAGCCAGACUUCAGUUUCCAAUGAUCAGGCAGAUGAAAAAAUAAUCAGAAUCAGGUAUAAAGGUAAUGCUUCAAAGUUAAGACAGCAUACAGCAAGAACAAUUUGAUGCACAAAUCAAUAGUAAAUGCAUGGCAUGAAAAUAGUAAUGUUUGUUAGAAUAUAUGAAAAACAUCCCAAAAUAUAUGUAUUUUAUCUUUAGAAUAAUUUAGAGUGUCUUAAAUUAUCUCUAAGAUUAGAAAUCAUAUUUUCUUAUAUUUUGUGUUUUUUUAAUUAAUUAUGAUUAGAAGUCUAGUAGAAAUAUAAGUCAAUGUUUGCAUUUUAUAACUCGUCCAACACAUUAUCUCAUAGUUAGUAAAUAUCAAUUUCAUAGUAUGUGGUCUCUAUUUUCUCUUUUUCUUCCUGUAAGAGUUAGGGUUAUGAGUUAGACGUAGAUUAUUGAAUGUAUGGGUCCAAUCCUUAUGUGCUUGUAUGUCUUACUUUGCCGCUGAGAGACAUGGUGGAAGGCUCUGAUACCAAUUAAUAAGAACAUUGGGAGAACCACACCGCAAAAGCUAGUUGUUGUAGUUGGAGAGCCCAAGGCCUUAUAAAGUCCACAUUAGAAUCUCAUACUUCUGAUGUGGGACUCAAGUCCCAUACCUUGCAAUUUGAUUCCUAACACUGCUUUUAGGACUUCGGACCGUGUUCCUCGUAUUCUAGGGAAGUGGAUUUGUCAUGAAUAAGCAAUCCCAAAAGUUUAAACUCCUGGGUGAAGACUGAAGACAAAUGAAUGACCUAUUUCUAAUACACCCCCUCACAUGAGUCCUUUCAACUUGAAGCGUCACUAAUGCACAAACCCACCUACAUUGAGCUGAAAUUCAACUUUUUAUUAGAAAAAAUUUGUUCAUCAAGGUUCCUUCUUUAGACCAGAUUGCUGACAUAUUCACCAAAGCUUUUUCCCCUACUAGGUUUGAGUAUCUUCGUUCCAAACUCAAGGUGCUUGAGCGGGUUCCUUCUCCCCCACCUUGAGUUUGCAGGGGUGUAUUAGAGUAUACUACUCGUGUUAAGUAAAGCUACUGAUUGUAGCUGAGUUAGUGUGUUAGUUAUGCUUGCUUAGCUGUCAAGCUUAGCUGGCAUAACAGAAUUAAGAGUUAGUUGUUAGAGUUUGUUAGAAUUGUUAGCUUGUUCAUCAAGCUUUAUAUUCUUCUAUAAGUACUGAACUAUGGUCUAUUGUAUCAUAACCUUUGAAAUGAAUGAGAAUUAGAUUUACAGAGUUCUGAGUUUUCAACAUGGUAUCAAGAGCAGGUCACGAUCCUUGAGAUCUCUCUCGAUUUUCUUUUCUUCUCCUUCUUCUUCGUCAUGGCUGACGAAAUUCCAGAGAUUCCGAUCCCGAUUCCAGUUCCAGUGGCUCAACCGCAGUUGAGUUCAUCCACGCUUGUUCACAAGCUUACGUUGAAGCUUGAUGAUACAAAUUUUCUUUCAUGGAAGCAGCAUGUGGAAGGGAUCGUUCGCACUCACAGGUUGCAGAGUUUCCUUUCUCAUCCUGAGAUUCCACCACGAUUUCUCACUGAAGAAGAUCGUGUGAAUGCAGUGGAGAAUCCUGCAUAUCAAGUCUGGGAGCAGCAAGAUUCUGCUCUGUUUACGUGGUUACUUUCUUCGCUUUCACCAUCAGUGCUUCCUACUGUGGUGAAUUGCUCUCAGUCCUGGCAAGUCUGGGAAGCAGUGCUCGAAUUCUUCCACGCACACGCUCUCGCGCAGUCCACACAACUGAGAUCUGAGAUUCGAUCCAUCUCCAAGGGAUCGAAGUCGUGUUCUGAGUAUCUCAAGCGUAUUAAGUCGAUUGUUAAUGCGCUAAUCACGAUUGGAGAUCCAAUCUCCUAUCGUGAACACUUGGAAGCAGUGUUUGAUGGCUUGCCUGAGGAAUACAGUCAUCUUCAAACGAUUGUGUACAAUCGUGAAUCACCGAGUUCGAUUUCGCAGGUUGAAGCGAUGAUUAUCGCACAUGAAGCGCGUCUCGAUCGCGCUCGUACUCGCCAGAUCUCGACAAAUCCUCCGUCGGCGCUCCUUACUCAGGCUCCACCGCCACACACGCNNNNNNNNNNNNNNNNNNNNNNNNNNNNNNNNNNNNNNNNNNNNNUGAGGUACUAUUAUGCUAUUUUUAAACGUGGAGGAUUAUUAUUGCACAUUUUUUAAACGUGGGGGAUCAAAAGUGCUAUUAAGCCUUUACAUUAAUAUCUAUUAACCUUAUAGUGUGGUAUGUGCAUGUGCUCCUAAAAGGAUCCUGCAAAUGGUGGUGUGAAUUUUGUUCAUCAAAGUGCAAAGAGAAGAAAGAGAACAUACCAUAUCCUUCAAAUGCACAUUAUCAGCACCAAGAAAAGUUGUUCCCCCUGUCACCAUAAUAAACUCAAGGAUAGUUACAAGUAAACUCUAGUCUCUACAAUACAUUCAAGAAAAUAACAAGAUUUUAGUCUAGUAGAUGCUUUUAUUUAUGGAACAAAAACAAGCAGCUUUUGCAUUCUUAAAUACUAAAAAUGAAAAGAAAAAAGGAUUAAUUCUAAAAAAUGGAGGAAAAUCAUAUUCAAGAGAAAGAAUUUACAAGUUCUCAAGAUAAAGCAAACAGUACCUGCAUUGGAAGAAUAUUCAAAGCCACCCAAAUGAGGAACAGAAGCAGAACACUGAGGGUAAGCCAUGGACAAUCUCAAAUUUCUUGCUCCCUUCAUCACUCACAAUCAUCAGAUUCGGCAACGUUUCUUCCAAAACAGGUUUCUUCAGCUGUUCUUCACUGAAACACGAUCGCAGCAACCGCAACUCCGUCAAUUCAAUUUCGAAUUCGAAUUCGUUUUGUGAUUAGGUUAAUUUCAUCAGAUUUCGUGGUUGAUGAAGUGAGAGUGAAAUCGGAAAGGGGAAAGAAACGAAGACGGGGUAAUUUUUUGGUAUUGUCUCACAUGUAACGGAGAUGAUGGUAAGGACAAAGUUUCUUUUUUUUUAACGUGGUUGAAUUGUUUUUUACGGUUGUUAAGUUUUUUUUUUUUGAACUAACGGUUACAAAGUCAAGAUUUGUGAUAGUUUUUGAAAUACAACAUAAAAUAUUGAUUGCUGAAGAUUUAAAAUAUAAUUUGAUAAAUGUUAUGGGUUAAAUCAUAAUUUAUGAUAUCUUGAGAAGAAAGUAUAAUAAUGUAGAUUAGUUGGGACUAAAAUUUAGUUUAGUAAAAUGUUGGUGUUAAAAGAUUGAAUAUCUAGUUACUACUAAAAAUAAAAAAUAAAAAAAUAGAAUUAACACGUGUCAUGCCUUUAUUGGUUGCAUUUGAGACUGUUUUAAAACUGUUUCAAAUGAGACAAUAGCCAAGAGGUCACCCGAAGACGGAGGCGUUUUCACUGGAGCUUUGAAGCAUUAGGCGUGGAUGAGAAUAAGAUUUCAAAUUUUCAGCACUUUGGGCCUUUUGUUUAUUCGCCCCACAAAAAUACCCACCCCUACCAACCAUGGUAUCAUCGAUAGGCCCCGUGAAUAUACAUACGAAGGGCGGCCCAAUAUCAAGGAGUUUCGGAAGGUAUGAGGAUGCGUUUAGCUUAUUGUGCAAGAGUUUGGCAGACGGGGCUAUGACCGAGUCUUUAGGGAUUUUCGAGUUAAGCUCGACUACUUUGCUAUCACUGUUACCUUUUUGUUACAUGUAACCGAACCAUUCACUGUAUUUAGAUACUUAGGGUCUGUUUUGUGGACAUGAUAUAAUAGUAAUAAUCAUAUCAUGUUGUUAUCUAGUGUUUGUUGUGUCAGCAGGAUAGGAUAACACUAUCAUGUCUCUUAUCUUAUCAUGUUCAUCAUGUGUAAAAUUAUCCUUAGGGGGUUAGGAUAGAACUUAUCCUAACAGGAUAUGAUAACAACUAUAUAUUCUCUUUCGGUUUUGGAACUCAAAUUAAUUUAUUUUAAUAUAUAAUGAUAUUAACUAAUAAAUAGAAUUUUUUAUUUUUAAUUAAAGUAAAAAUAAAUAAUUAUUCAUUAAAUUAAAUAGUAAAAUAGACUACUCACUUAUAAACAUUAAUUUAUUAACAGUAAUAGACUAAUUUUCUAUUAUCAUCAAUUAUUAAAAUCAUUUCUCUACUUAUAUAUAAUUUAAAUAUAAAGUACUUUCGAGAAAUUAAUAUUUUCAAUAAUAUUUAUUUAAUUUAGUUAACCUUUAUUUUUAAUUUCUUAUCACUUGUCAAAACUAAGUUAAAAUCAAUUGAUUGACUACAUAAUUUUAAUUAAAAUAGACUCCCUUAAAAAAAAAGCUAAUCAAUAAAAUUAAUUUACUGAUAGUUAUUUUAAAACAUAUAUACUAAUUUAUAAAAAUGUAAAAACAUUAAAUUAAUAGAAUAAUCACUUUUUUUAAAUGAUAAUUUAAAUAAUGAAUUUUUAAAUUUAUUUUUUAUUCAAAGAAAAUUUUCAUACAUUUUUCUAAUUAUAUAUUAUAUCCUGUUAUUAUCCUGUGCACUCCAAACACAUGAUAGAAUAAAAGUCUAUCCUGCUCUUAUCAUAUAUUGUCUUUAUCCAACUCUAUCAUAUCCUGCUUUUAUCCUAUCCUAACCACCAAACGGUCCCUUAGGGUGGUCGACCUACUUGGGAUAUAAAGGAGGCUGCCUAUGCUCAUUGUAACUCAACUUUUUACUUGAGUAUAACUCUAACGUUCUAUUUCUCAUUCAGCAUACUUUGUCUUAGGGUUCUUUAGAGAAUAAUUUCACUAAUAUAUUUUGUUAAGAAUAUAAUUUAAUUCUUGAGUUUCUUAUAUUUUUAAGGUUUUGACCGCUAUUUUAAUAAACCAUUUGAAUUAGAAUUAGAAUAUAUUUGCUAGAUGAAUUAGAAUAUAUUUUAGGCGAGACACAAGCUCUAGUAGGGUUCCACCCAAGCAACUUUAGGGACGAUGGUGAUUUUUGGGGCAACUUCAGCAAGUCCGAGUUAUGGUUCAACAAGGGAAGGUGUGAGGCUGAAGGUGGCGAGCAAACAAAGGAAGAGGAUGGGGCACAAAAGUCCUUAGAGCAGAAAAUAGCGGCAAAUUAUAGAUAUUUGUGAGCCCUCAGAGCGCUACGCUAUAGCACUAUGGCGCCACGAUAUCAGCUAUUUGACAACAUUGUUUCGGGAGUAUGAAAAUUGAUGGUAAGUACUGGAAUGUGAAGGAAUGAAUUUCAUCACCUUCCAUCUUACUUCAUCCCCAUUUAACAAAACCAAACAAUGAAACAUAAUAACACUCCCUUCCAUUCAAUCCCAUUUCACCCCUCCAUCAAUCCAAACAUAGCCUAAAUGAGGUGGACUAUACCAUAAGGCACAAGUGCAAUGUGCACAUGUUCACCUCUCUUGGUUGUGAGAUGUGUACGGACAGCUGCUAGAAGCUGACAGUUUCUAGGAGGCUACCAGGACUUUCCUCCUCCACGUAGUAGCUGCACUACCUUUGCGGAUAAAAUGUGAAACAAUAUAUUGUGAAAAGAGUAUUAUUUGAACUUCAUUAUUGAAUGUCAAUAUCAAGAUAACAGAAAAAGCAUUAUAUUUGAGUACAACGACUAUGGUGAAUAACACCUUUCAAGAGAGUAUCAAACAAGGACCUUGUGUUUAAUAACUACAUAUAACUUACAGCCUUAGGGUAUCAACACAACAGAUCCUGAGGUCUUCCUAUUCUCCAGGUCUUCAUGUGCUUUUGCAGCCUCAGAUAAUGGGUAAGUAUGAUUGACCCUCACCUUCAAGACACCAGAUGCAACAGCAGCAAACAACUCUCCUGCAGCCUCCAAUAGCUCAUCCCGAGUGACAACAUAUUGCAUUAGGCUGGGCCUUGUCAGGAACAGGGAUUUUGCAGCAAGGGAGGAUAAUGGGACUGGAUCAGGUGAACCAGAUGAUUGCCCAAAACUCACCAUGUAGCCUCGUUGCUUCAAGCAUGCUAAGGAUCCCUGGAUAAAUCAUAGAAUACCUCCUUACAAACUUUUUCUCACAACAAAAUUGAAAUUUGAAAAGAGCAUACACAUCACUGAAAAAUAGUAACCCAAAGUUUGAUUUUCAAAUUUGAAACAAAAACACUAACAAAGGAAGCUUUCAUCAGGCAGAAAUCAGUUUGACCAUCAUCAGGGAAAUAAGCGUCUAAGUUUGCUUCUAUAUUGUAUUAAUCUGAAAGUAAUCCUUGAAAUUGAGUUCAACCAUUAGUAUUAAGUAUUAUAACUAGUCUGAUUUUGAAAUUUCAUUUAGUGUAGUAAGCAUAGAAUUGGAACUACCUCAAAGGUAUCCUUUUCCACAGAAUCAUAGACCACUUCAACUCCAUUGCCUGAUGUAAUUUCAUUGACGCGAGCAACGAAAUCCUCUUCUUUGUAGAUUAUAACAUGAUGACAGCCAUCCUCCUUGGCUUGAGCUGCCUUCUCCUCAUUGGAUACAGUUCCUAUAACAGUUGCACCAAGAGCAUUUGCCCACUGGCACAAUAGGGAUCCAACUCCACCAGCAGCUGCAUGGACAAGAAUUGUGUGGCCACGUUCAACCUGUAAAGUGAUAGGUAUGUUAGUCUCUAUUUAAUAUAAAAGUAGGGCAAAGUUAAGAGAAAAUGAACUAGUUAGAGGAUAAACCAAGAAUCCAUCAGUUAAUAGAUACUAUAGUCCGCUAUGAUAAACAACAGACAGGAAAACACCAAUGUAAUAUGCAAGAAAAUGCCCACCUCUAAUGAAGAAAAAUAAACACCAAUGAAUGCAUGAGGGCAACACUGGUUACUGCACAUUAGAGAUAAAAAAACUAUACCAGUUGUAGGCCUCCAUCUAAUGCUAGAAUGAAACUUUGGAUGAAAUAAGUUGAAGAGUGUCUGGGUGAAAACAAUGUACUAGUAGCCUUGUUUUCACAAACAGCUUAUCUAAAAACAUAGCUAAAACCUCAUAUUCUUGCUGGUUUCAAAAGCUAUUUUCAUAGGCUCAUCAAAACAGACUUCACAACCAGGGUCUUAUAUUGCAGUUGCCAUCGUGUUAUGUCACGAAAUAGCGACAAAUGUGGGUUGAUGCAGCCACAAUUGCGGUGCCAUCUCAAAAACCCUUAACGCUAUGGCCGCAAUUGCAGUUGCCAACCGAAACUUAAAACCCUUUUCAGGACUAUUCACCGCAGACUAACCAAGGGUUAAAAAAAGGCUUCUUAAGAUAGGACAAUGGUUUUAAAUCAAGGUCCACGACCGCAUUGGCGGCCGAGACAUCAAGGUUUUGGUCUUUUGGAGAUCCACAUACCAUGACUAUAUGCAUGUUUGGAUACAAUGUAAAACCACUGUGAGGCCAAAAUCAUGGUGGGCACGGUUGCAAAAGCUCACGGAAAUUGCUUCUUUCCACCGUGAAUUUUGGCUUCAUCACGAUUCUGAACAGUGUAUUCAAGCAUGCGCUGUAUCAGUAGCAGCAAUCGCGACUGCAUCAACCGCAUAUUUGCACAAUGUUUCACAAUAUCAGCAAUAGCACAAAAUCACACCUUGGAACAACGGCAAAGCAAAAAUUGAGCAGUCAUGCCCUUGAGCAUCACCGAUGCAGCAACACUUGGGUCAAUUGAGGAAGGAAUAGGAACCACUUUACCAGCAUGGAGAAUCUGCUCCUCAACAUAAGAGCCAAUUGGCUGACCAGCAUAACCAACAAGAUCACCAACCUGCACACCAGUUGGUCCACCACCCACAGCAGUCACAACCCCAACAGCCUCCAUACCUGCCAC